AGAGUUUGAUCCUGGCUCAGAUUGAACGCUGGCGGCAUGCCUUACACAUGCAAGUCGAACGGCAGCACGGGGGGUAACCCCUGGUGGCGAGUGGCGAACGGGUGAGUAAUAUAUCGGAACGUGCCCUGUAGAGGGGGAUAACCUAUCGAAAGAUGGACUAAUACCGCAUACGCUCUACGGAGGAAAGCGGGGGCCGCAAGGCCUCGCACUAUAGGAGCGGCCGAUAUCGGAUUAGCUAGUUGGCGGGGUAAAAGCCCACCAAGGCGACGAUCCGUAGCUGGUCUGAGAGGAUGAUCAGCCACACUGGAACUGAGACACGGUCCAGACUCCUACGGGAGGCAGCAGUGGGGAAUUUUGGACAAUGGGCGCAAGCCUGAUCCAGCCAUGCCGCGUGAGUGAAGAAGGCCUUCGGGUUGUAAAGCUCUUUCGGCAGGAACGAAAUGGUUCGUGCUAAUACCACAGAUUGAUGACGGUACCUGAAGAAGAAGCACCGGCUAACUACGUGCCAGCAGCCGCGGUAAUACGUAGGGUGCAGGCGUUAAUCGGAAUUACUGGGCGUAAAGCGUGCGCAGGCGGAUUGUUAAGCAAGACGUGAAAUCCCCGGGCUUAACCUGGGAAUGGCGUUUUGAACUGGCAGUCUAGAGUGCGUCAGAGGGGGGUGGAAUUCCACGUGUAGCAGUGAAAUGCGUAGAGAUGUGGAGGAACACCGAUGGCGAAGGCAGCCCCCUGGGAUGACACUGACGCUCAUGUACGAAAGCGUGGGUAGCAAACAGGAUUAGAUACCCUGGUAGUCCACGCCCUAAACGAUGUCAACUGGUUGUUGGGGGAGUGAAAUCCCUUAGUAACGAAGCUAACGCGUGAAGUUGACCGCCUGGGGAGUACGGCCGCAAGGUUAAAACUCAAA
rnacentral:rRNA from 1 species